UCAUGUGGUGUCAUAGAUACAUUAUGAAACCGGUAUUAGUUUAAAUAUUUUAAACCGGUUCAAAACCGGUUUUAAAACAUAUUAAAAAAUGAAAAACUUAAAAGAAAAGAAGUAAAAAAUGAUUCAGGAAAAGAAGUCCAAAAACUUAAUGUCACAGUGCCCUAAUUCUUCUCAUCGCUACAGAAAGCUUCUCCGCCACCAUCUCUGCACGCCACCAUCUCCGCCACCUUCCCGUGGCGUCGCCUCUAUCCCUCGCCGCACUCGUUACUUCCCCCGGCCGCUGCCGUGGAGUCCGAUUUCAAAAAUGAAUUCAGGAAAAGAAGUCAAAAAACGUAAUGUAACAGUGCCCUAACUUCUUCUCACUGCACAAAGCUUUUCCGCUACCAUCUCUGCGCGCCACCAUCUCCGCCACCUUCUAGCGGCGUCGCCUUCAUCCCUCGCCGCACUCAUUACUUCCCCCGCUGCCGUGAGGUCAGAUUUCGUAGGAAAGAUUUCAAAGUCAUAUUCGUCGCCCUUUUUAGUUCCACAGGUAUUUAUUUGUACUUCCUGCUCUUAAUGUUGUGCCUUGGAUUUUCUUUCUUUAGUGAAUGCCUCGCCCUGUAACUGUACUGCAUUUUCCAAUCUUUACUUGUCAAGUUUGAAUAUUUUGCCUUCCUCUAAUUCGCCCUAUGGUAGCAUUAGGUUUGUUGAGGGAAGUUUUGAAUAGUGUAAAUAGGUUUUAAGAUUGAUGAAAACUCAUAGCAGGUAUCCACGAAACAGAACAAUCGGCCUUGCUCUGCUGUGUUUCACCGCUGCUCUGGGUUUUCGGUCUGCCGUGCUUUGUUUGCAGCUCUCUCAGUCUUUCUCUGGUCUGCCGUGCUUCGUCGCCUCUGAGUCUAAGGUUAGUUUUGCUACUCUUGAAGUAUGUUGUUGUUGCUGCCCUUUCUAUCUAAGCGAGUGGAUAUGAUGUUGCUGCUUUGUAAUUGUUCUACCAUUUGAUGUUUCAAUUUCAUAUUCAUGAUAAGUCACCUGCUAAUUGUGAAGUGUAAGCGUGACAGAUUAUUAGCAUCAUAGCUUUGGCCUCAAAAGUAGAAGUGUUAUCUUUUAUUUUGUUUCUGCCCUCCCAGUUAACAUUAUCAUUGGUACAACUUUGUCACGCAAUAGGAUAAACACUGACCAAACUUCAUUAUAAAAUGUGAACUACCAUAUGCAGGAGUGAUUGACUGAUUGUUGUGUGCAUCCCACAUUGUAAGCCAUACUUCUACCUGCAUAUUUUAUGAAUGGAUGUGUUUUGUCUUAAGUUAUAAAAAAAAUUAGCUUUGUUUACUGAGUUAGGGAUGUUAACUAGUUAGGAGGCUUAUCGAGAGAUCUUUAUUCAUCUUGUUUUUAUUACCGACUUGCUAUAUAUAUUAUUUUAUUCACUACAACAAAGACUCUAAUAGAAAUCGCUAAAUAGAAACCGGUUUUUUCAAGUAUAAAAAAAUUAGCAAAGGAAUCUAGCAGAGAUGUGCUACUGCUGCUCCUAUCUAACACAGAAAUAUACUGUUACAUAAAAGAAUGUUAAAAGGUACUUUAAAAUCCUCUUAAAGUGAGUUAUGAAUAUUUCGGUGAAAAUUAAAAUUAAAUCAAGUAAUGCUAUAUGUAGGAAGUAAGAAUGCUACAGCCAAUUUUUAGCUAUUAAUUAGUCAAAUACUAUAUCUCUUUUCUAGCUAUUAAUUAGUCAAAUAGUAGUAACUUGUAUAUGUUGUUGUUUUUUCACCAAUUUUUAACUCUCUUAACACUAACUUUUACAGUUUGUUUGGCUUUUAUUACUUUGGUGUUAACUCUGCAUGCAGCUACUGUUUUGUGCUUGCUACUAUCAUUGUUGCUUUAACUAAAUGUGGUCGUUAGUACAAUCUAAGUAUGGAAAGGCAAAACAAAAAUCGACUACUUAUCCUUGUGCGUGUGAUAAGCCAAAUUGACAUAAUGUUGUAUGUGGUUGUGUGGUUCACUUGCAAAUGAAGCCUAAUGGAAUUAGUGAUUUAUGUUUCUGAUAUGAAACUGGAAAAUCUCAUUCUAUGGUAACAUGUUGCAUUUAAUUUUCUAUUUCAAAACAAUUCAAGUUAAAGAGUACACAUACAAUAAUUUAUGAAACAAAAGCUCUUAUUGAUGGAAUACGUUUUGCUUUGGAGUGUCUCUUAAGUAAUUAGAAAUGCUUGAUAUGUCCAACAUUCUUGCUUCUGAUACAAUAAUUAUCUUCAUUUGUAUCUUGGAAGAUCAUCAAUAGCAGCGUGGUUUCUCAAGUAAUAAAGAUAGUGUAUUUGUUUAGUAUCUAAGAUCUACAAUGGUAAAUGGGAGGUCACAGUUGGUGAUUUUACGCUGCUCACAAUAUUUUUCUGAUACAUAUGUACAUGGAGCUGAAGCAUUAAAUUUCUCCAUCUGUAAGAACAUGCUUGCUUUGUUUGUGUUUUGCAGGUAACUUGGAUGCAAAGCUAACUUGGAUGCAAAGAGGAAAGAAGACCAUAUUUAGUUAUUGAAAAAUUGAGGCUUCAAGAACAUUUGAUUUUGAAAGUUGAUAUUAGAUUUUGUCUUCCUAGAAACUUGAUAUUAGACUUUCUUUUGUUAUAUUGAUAGUUGAAACUUAGGGGGGUGUAUUCGUUGUGGAUUUCCACGGAUUUUAAAAAGUCCAUGGAUUUUAAAUUCCAUGGAAUUCACAUAGAUUCCAGACGACUUUCGAAGAAUUCGUGGUUGGAUUUCACCCCGAUUUUCACAGAUUUUCGAAGAAUUUGGGGGAUAAUUCUUGAAUUGAAAUCCAGGAUGCUAACGUACGCUGAAACCCAGCACCGCUGGAAACCCAGCGAGCGCUGGGAAUCCAGCGAGCGCUGGGACCAAAUAAAUGCUAUAUAAAGGGCCAGCGAGCGCUGGUGCCCUAAAUUCAUUCUACUUCUCCAGCGCCGCUCCAGAACACUCGCCCUCCCAAAAAAUCACCUUCAACUACAAUUUUUCCAUACCACUACUCUCUAAAAUCACCUUCAACACUACAAUGGUCCGAACGAAGAACGUAAACGUCGGUAGAGGGGAGCUUACUUUGAGCCAAAGGUAUGAAUGUCCAUUUGAAUUGCAAAGCGAAUUAGAAGGAGAAAUAUUUAAGAAAUUUAACGAGAACUAUAUUACUCCUCCGCAUUACUUGGAUUGGGAGUUGAUUACUGAUUUGAAUCUUGAGGAACAAGUUGAGUUGUAUUUGCAACAUCUAGGGAUGAAAGAAUAUGCUAAAAAUAUUGCUUUUUCUGGGUAUGAUCCUUUAUGUUAUGAGUUCAUGACUACUGUGGAAAUGGCUGGUGAUAUGAAAUGGAUUAAAGCUAGGAUGUAUGAGCGAGAGUAUCGCAUUAGUUUGGCUAGAAUGAAAGCUGUUUUUGGUUUCAGUAUUGGUGGAUUAUCUGAUAAAACUCGGGGAUGGAAUGUUAAUCAAGCGUGGAAUCGAUUGACUGACGUUGAUAAUUGGGAUAGUUCGGGUAUGCCUAGUGGGUACAUUAAGGAUCCGGCAUUAGCUAUUGUUCAUAAAUUUCUUGCAUAUAAUGUGUCUGGAAAGGAGCAGGCGAAUAAGGUUAAUGCAACUGAGGUAUUUUUGCUGGAGUGUGCUUUAGAUGGCACAAAAGUGUGCAUCUCAAAGUUUAUUUGGGCUGCUAUGAUUCGGGCGAAGAAGCGCCCUACUGCCCAUGCUUCUUUCGCUGCUAUUAUCACUGNUCCACCCUCUGUAGCUAUAGUAUAGUAACCAGCCAUGCCAAAGGUACACCUAGUAGGUCAUUCAGCCACCCUAGGACUACUCUAUUCUUCAGCCAACGACUUCACUCUUAUAUUUCAAGGAGAAGAUUUCUCUUUCUUCCCUUAGAGCAUCUAUAACGCUUACACGAUAGAGCUUACACGAUAGCCCUAUCGUGUAAAAGCUCUAUCGUGUAACCGUUGCAGACGAAGGUUACACGAGGGCUACACGUUCUAUCGUGUAGCCCAAUUUCUCGAUAGUGUAAAGCGCGUGCAAUGCACGCGCCUAUUUAAAAAAAAAAAAUUACUUGACUUCCCCUCGGUUGGCGUGUUUAUUCGACCGUUCAAAAAUUUUUUUUUCCUUUCUUUUCUUCUAUUUAUUCUUCUUCUUCCUCAUUUUUUUCCCUACGCCUCACUCUUCUUCUUCAUCUUCUUCAUUCUUCCUCUCUCUACACCCCAUGGAUCCAAACAACCCAAAUUACUAUGAUCUAAAUUGGUGUCCCGAUCUAUCCGACGAAUAUCAUCCCGAUUUAUCGGGAUGUAACUUGGGGGAUGCUCCUCAGGCCGGCGAGGAGAUGCCUUCGGCCCAUAGUGCCGCCAAACCGAAGAAAGGCAGCCGAAGGAAAGAAGUCGCCCACAAGAUCCGACAUGACAGGCCGGCGUCGGUGGCGGAGGAGGAGGGGGCGGAGGAUGACGGAGGUAAGACUAUCCGUCAUACCUACACCACUGAGGAGACGGACAUCAUCGUCCAAAUUUGGAUGGAGGAGACAAACGACGCCAUCCGUGGGACAAAUCAAAAGGGGUUCGAGUACUGGAAGAGGAUCGUCGCCCGUGUCAACCCCCUCAUCGGCGCCCACCUCAAAGUUCGUCAGAUUCAAGGGCACUGGACCCGAGUGGCCCAAGAGGUGCGGUUGUGGGAAAGUAUUUGGGUGGAGGCGCGCAGCAAGUGGCCGUCCGGCCAUUCUGACGAUAUGCUCCGGGACAAGGCCCAAACUCUUUUCAAAAGUCGGAGCGCAAAUAACGCCUCCUUCAACUACUGGAAUGCGUGGAGAAUUCUCCGGAACAACCACAAGUUCAAGUCGAUGUACCUCGAGGGAGACGUGCAUUCCUCCAAGAGGACAAAGACGACAGAGGAGGGCGCCUUCACCACCUCGGCGUCAGGCGAGGAGAUCUCGUCUGCCCGGCCGAUUGGGAACAAGGCGGCGAAGGCGGCGGCAAGGGCGGCGAAAGCGAAGGGGAAGGGGAAGGCGACGGCAAGCUCCGAGCAGUCAUCGGAGUACAAAGAGACAUUGGAUCGGUCCGAUCAGAACUUGAAAAAUAUCACGACCGAAUAUGCCAAAAAGAACGAGCUCAAGGAGAGGGAGCUCGACAUGCAACUCCUCAGUCUGGAUACAUCGCAUAUGAGCGAUGUACAGAAGAUGGCCCACGAGCACAUGGUACAAGAAAUGCUCAAGCGUCGUGGCUUUAUCUAGACUAGGAGUUUAAUUUAUGUAAUUUAAUUAUUGUUUUAUUUUUUUUAAUUGUAUUUUAGGUUUUUUAUUUGAAUGAAAUUUUAAUUAUUAGUCAAAGGUGUUAUUUAAAUUUGAGCAAUUAAAUUUAAGUAAAAAGCAUAAAAAUGGAAACUAAUUCUAUCAUGUAAGCUAUCAUGUAACCCCACUGCAGCAUCUUUACACCAUGUGGUCCCCCAUCAUAAAGUAGGCUAUCAUGUAAGCUAUCAUGUAACCCCAUUGCGGAUGCUCUUAUACUCUUAACACGCCACAUUGAGAAAGGGAGGAAGUUUCCUUCAACUCCAGCCUUGACUCCAAAGAGGUAAAUUUUUAGCUUGAACUCCUCCAUUCUUCCAUAGUUCACCUGCAUUUGUUAAAGGAAUCAUCUUUAUUUCAGUUCUUCUCCUACUGAGAUCAACAACAGCAACCACCAACACAUAACAUUUGCAAGGUAUUUACUAAGCUCAGCUAGUUCAAAUACAAUUUGCAUUUCAUCCAACAAACAUGAUUAGUUAAAGGAUACAAAGUUUACAAUGAGUGUAUAUGCUCAAGGGAACUUAGCAUAAUUACAGAAACUAUUUAUUUUAUUCACAUGAGAUAAAGGCAAUGAGAAAACUAUCAUGAAUCAGUAGCGAAACCAAGACUCCACAUAGACUUUAGUUUUGAACUUAGCAUUUAGAAGGGGAGGGAGGCUAAUUCGAGGUACCUGUUUCUUUUAAAUGGGGACGGUUGAAGCUGGCUGACCGCGAGGAGAAGGAGAGGGGCAAUCGCCCAAUUCCGCUGAACCGAAGAGGGCCAGCGGGGACAGAGUUUUGCUGCUCGCCGGAGGAGGUCAGAGAAGAACCCCGACGACGACCGCAACUCGCUGAGCCAACGCGACGACGCGGCGACCUUCGCUGAUUCCAGAGCAACAGUCGCAGCGACAACUUUCACUAAGGAGAAAAUAGGUGGCGGCUUCGGCUUCGCUUCCUGGGAGAGAAGGGGACGACGAUGGCCUCGCCGGACCUCAGAAACAGCGGCAGCAACGCCCCAGUUCGCCAGUUUCUCCAUCAGCGGCGGCGGUGAUUCUUUAAUGGAGAUGUAAGGGCACAGCCUUGCCUUUGCUGUGCGAAGAAGGGAGAGAGAGCAGAGCCGAUGAAGGCGUCGGCUUCGCCGGACUGCAGGUUGUGGCAGCUUUGAUAGAGGAACUAGGGCUCGAUUUUAAAAGAAGUGCCUACCUUAAUUUUCAGCGAGGGUAGAAAUGAUGGGGAACGGCGCAGAGAUUUGCCGGAUUCUGGAGGCAAGAUGCGGCCUUGCCGAAUUUCAGAAGGGCCGACGACGGGCCUCAGAAACGGCAGCAGCAGCAGCUCUCUCAAAGGAAGAGAGAAAUCGCGAGAGAGAGAUUGAGAAGAGAACCGUUCAAGAGGAAGAAGGGAAUGGGCUUUUUCUUAUUUUUGUAAUUUGGGCCUCUCCUUGGGCUGUUUUAUGUUGGGCCUUUUUAUUUAUUUAGGAUGAUAUUAUUAUUUUCUUUCAUAUUUUAUUAAGUCCAAUUAGAUACCAGAUCUAUGAUCGAUUAAUUAGACUUAGUUAUUUCUAAUUAUGGAUUAAUUUAGGAGAUUAUUCAGCUAUUAAUUGGAUCGAGCUACUUCCUUUUAAUUGAUUAAAUAGAGGAGAUCUAUUUAAUUACAUAGCGGGUUAGAAUACCAUAAAAUGAAUGGACUAAGAGCAUCCACAGCAGAUCUCUCAAAAUUUUACUCCUAAAAAUACUCCUAAAGUCUUCCCUAAAUUAUUUUUAACCUCUAUUUUACACUUGCACGCAGUAGCUCUCCUAUUUUUCAUUAUCUAAUUUGAUAAAUUUAGGAUUAGAUUUAAGAGGGGUGUAAAUUUAAGAUUAAAUUUGAGGGGGUGCCAAAAUUUUUUGGGUCGAAAUUUAAUCUACCCACUCUUAUAAUCUAUCUUACAAAACUACCCACAUUACCCAAAAACAAAAGUGAUGGUGAUAGGCAUGCUUGGUGUUUUGUAAAAGUUCUUACACAAUGUCAGAAAGAUGCCAUAAAUGCCAACUCACGUCACUUUCCUGCAUUAAUAUAUACUGUAGGUUGAAAAAUUGAAAAAAAUUAGGGGACGUUUGUGUGUUAGAAAUAUUAUUACGAAGGUACAAAAAUUCACGAUUAUGUGUAUUAUGAAGGAAAUAUUUAUUUUGAAGCGAAUGGCAUAACUAGCCGCUAGAAAUUCUUAGCCGGCAGCACUAGCCGCAGAACUUUUUUACCGGCGGCUAGUGCUUACGGCUACGAAUUUCUGGCGGCUAGUUACGAAUUGAGAAUCAAAAAAAGGUUCUGAAACUAAUGGGUCAACUAGCCGCCAGUAAAUCCUAGCCGCUAACACUAGCCGCCGGAGAAAACACCGGCGGCUAGUGCUAGCGGCUAGGGUUUACUGGCGGCUAGUUGACCCAUUAGGUUCAGAAAUGUUUUGUUAUUACAUAUAUGUUUAAAUUGGAAUUUUUCAGCCCUCGUAUUACUGUUUUAUUAAAUUUUGUGCAUUUUUAACUACCUAUCUUACACAUUUUCUUACACAAUUGUACUUGUGUAAGAACUUUUACAAAAAACCAAGCAUGCCUAUCAUGCCUAUCACCAUCACUUUUUUCUUUUGGGUAGUGUGGGUAGUUUUGUAAGAUAGAUUAUAAGAGUGGGUAGAUUUCCCUAUUCACAGAAAUUUUUUUGUGGGCCCAACUUAAUAUAGGUGAUCUGUUGGAUGAUAAUUUUAUCUCACUUUUUAUUAUUUUAGUUCAAAUUUAAAGUUAAGAUUACUUUUGAGAGAUCUGCUGUGGAUGCUCUAAUUACAGUUAUUUAUCCGAUCUCAUAACAAGCCUUAAUUCUAUAGUUGGAUUAUUAUUAACGGAAUAUGAAUCAUGCAUAGUUAAUUUAUGCAUUCUCAUUUAUUUGAGAAUUUUUCUCGAGCUAAAGUCUUACCUUAUAUUCUCGGAUUAAAGGUUAAGCACAAGACUAAGAGCUUCAAAGAGUCACCGAACUGUAGCAAAGCUUUGCUAUCAGGUGGGUUUAUUUUCAUAUAUAUCAAAUGAGUUUAAUGUUACAUUUGAACAAGUUAUUUCGUUACAAAAUCUUUGAACUGAAUUAUUUCAACUGUUGUCUUGCCAUAAAUAUUUCAAUUGUAGUGUGAUAUCUAUCUGAUGUGGCUUUGCCAGUUAUGUAAUCGAAUUCGGGUCCUGAGCAGUUGAUAACUAUCCUGCCAGGGCUAGUGUACAUGUGUGACCGUGAAUCAUCGAGCGGGUUGGCCGGUCAGGUGUCCGUUGAGAGGUGGCCACCUUUCCGACACGCAGUUCCAGAUAUAAUAGAUUAUGAGAGAACUUAGACUACAGUCAAACUUUAAGAAUUACAAAUGAAUUUAGUAAGCUUGAGCUUUUUUAGCGAAAAACUCCGUUGUUGUACUGGUUAUGAUGGCAUGACAAUUUAUAAUUUUACGAAGCAUGUUUAUAUUUAUACUUAGGCAUACGUGCCCACUGAAUACUUUUGUACUCAGCCCUGCAUAUAUUUCUAAAUGUGCAGGUUGAGCAGUGGCUGAUGGAGAUGAAGUGGGGAGCGGAGCUUUUGUACGUAAAUUGAAUGAAUAAACUCUUGGAUACAUGUCUUCACACAUGUAAUCAGUAUUGUUAUUCCGCUGCGUACUCUUAAGUAAUAUGCCUUUUGAAUCAAAUCUUCAUCCGAACUUAGUGGUUUACUUAAGUCUUUGUGACUAAACAUCAGUUAUCUUAUGAAUUCCAUCUUCUUUAGCAAUGAUUUGAAUUUGAUCCCCAUUAAUUUUUCACUCCCUUUCUAUUCCCGCUUCUAACCUCCCUCAUUUAGUCACCUUUUCCCGGCUUAGUUAUCCUUAAUUGAGUCCGAUCGUGACAUAAUGUGCGCCUACGAGGAUCUAAGGAUUACUUUUGAAAAUAUCCUCAUAGAAAACAAAGGUUGGAAAUGGCCAUUGCCAUGAUUGCAUCCAGGGCAAAUGAAAUUUCUACACUUGUCGCUGAUGAAGAUGGACUGGAAGAAUUGAUUCAAGAGAAUACCAGAUUGGAGGAUUUGAUGUAGACACUUCAGAUAAAGAAAAUCAAACUCAUACAAGGAUUUUAAGAGAAACUGAAGCUAGAUCUGAUUCAAUCAAAAAGAGAUCUUGAUGAAACCUUAUUGUCAAGAGCAAAAAUGAAGAAAUGACAGUGGGUUGAGUUCUGGAUAGAAAACGACACUCUAAUGAACGCUUUCCUGUCUCCAUCACCAGAGGAAAGUGAUGAAGGAAAAUCAACUGAAGAAGAUAAGGGAAAAUGAGUUCUGGUCGAGGAUACAAUUGAUAAUUCCGAUAGUAACUUACCAGAAACAUCCAAAGAUAAUGUAUCUGGAUCUCAUCAGUCGCAGAAUAGACAACAUCAGUCUAUGACUCAACUAGUUCAAUCAAGAGGUUAUCAGUCAGAUGCUACUCCGUUAUGUCAAGGGGGACACAAUGUUGACAACAUAAGAACUACUGUUUAUGCAUGGCCUAACUUUGAAGAGAAUGAGAUAUAUACGAAGACAGAAGCUGAGCCAAGAGAAACAUUUGUACCGACUAAAGAAGCCUCAUCUUCAGUUGGAAGACCAGUCAACAACAGAGAAAAUUCACCUCAACGAAUGGUGAAACAGAUUCAAGAUCCUGAGGAAACUUCAGAUAACAAUCAAGGACCCAAUCAAUGACUGGGUAUCCAAAGCUCUUNAAACAUCAACAAAAAACAAAAAUCAACUCACAUGCAAUAGAAACACAGCAUACAGUUGCUAAUAAUUUAUAAAGGUACAAUAUUCAUGCUAUAGAAAAAUUGCAUAAUUAAAAUACUAUGAAGAUAUAAAAUUUAUGAAAAAAUACCUUGCUAAAAGGUAAAGUAGAACCCUGAACUCUUUUUUGAAGGCGUGGUAGGCGUCUGGCGAAUGUGAGGAGAAAACCAUCGAAGAUGGGUAUUUAAAAGCGUUGCUGGGCUGGGCUGACUGGGCCCAGCGACCGCUGCAACCCAGCGGCCGCUGGGAACCCAGCGCACGCUCAAAUCCAGCGAGCGCUGGCCUUUCUCAGCGUGUGCUGAGUUCUGGCGCUCGCUGGCUUCUUGGCCGCGAGUGCUGGAACUCAGUGCACGCUCAAAACGCCAUGGAUUUCAAUUCUUGUGUUUCUUGGCCGGAUUUCGUCGUGUGUAUUUUUUGGAUGAAAUCCAUGAAAGUCAUUCCGGAUUUGAAUUCAAUGGAAUAACGAAUACACCUAGAUUUGUAUGGAUUUUAAAAAGUCUGAAACGAAUACACCCAGAUUUAUAUGGACUUUUAAAAGUCUGGAACGAAUACACCCAGAUUUCUGCAGACUUUUAAAAGUCUGGAACGAAUACACCCAGACUUUUAAAAUCCGUGGAAAUCUAUUAAACUCCACAACUAAUACACCCCCGUUAGUGCGAGACAUUGGAGAUGAUUGUAACGUACAUUGGUGCUAAUUGAUUGUGUAAUUC
rnacentral:lncRNA from 1 species